rnacentral:rRNA from 1 species
UACGUAGGGCGCAAGCGUUUGUCCGGAAUUAUUGGGCGUAAAGAGCUCGUAGGCGGUUUGUCGCGUCUGCUGUGAAAACCUAAGGCUCAACCUUGGGCUUGCAGUGGGUACGGGCAGACUAGAGUGCGGUAGGGGUGACUGGAAUUCCUGGUGUAGCGGUGGAAUGCGCAGAUAUCAGGAGGAACACCGAUGGCGAAGGCAGGUCACUGGGCCGCAACUGACGCUGGAGGAGC